CAGGCUCUUCGGACAGUUUCACAAGAGAAAGGUUUAAGAUGCCAGGUCCAAGUGACAUUGUUCAGCUGGGCCUAGAACUUGAGGACAUGGCCUAGACAAGAGUCCUCAGCACAAGGGUGACGUUUGAAGCCCCAGGAGCAGGUGAAAUCAUGGAGGAGUGAGCAUCCCCAGCUCUAGAUGGAGGCAGAGGACUCAGCCUGGGGGCAUGCUUUCAGAGGAUAAAGAUGAGGAGUGAGGCGGUUCAGAGAAGGGAACAGCUUAAACACGGGGUGGAAGAGGCUCUGUCUGGGAACACGAGCUCUGUCUGCUGCCCCCAGAACUGGACCCUGCCCCUGUCUUGCCACUGGAGCCCUACACAGCACAGCAAA